UACGGAGGGUGCAAACGUUGCUCGGAAUCAUUGGGCGUAAAGCGCACGUAGGCGGCCCAGCAAGUCGGGUGUGAAAGCCCUCGGCUUAACCGAGGAAGUGCAUUCGAAACUACUGAGCUUGAAUACUGGAGAGGAUCGCGGAAUUCCCGGUGUAGUGGUGAAAUACGUAGAGAUUGGGAAGAACACCAGUGGCGAAGGCGGCUAUCUGGACGGUUUCUGACGCUAAGACGCGAAAGCGUGGGGAGCAAACAGG
rnacentral:rRNA from 1 species